rfam:Pteropus alecto contig14451, whole genome shotgun sequence.
GUCUACGGCCAUGCUACCCUGAAGAUACCUGAUCCCAUCUGAUCUCGGAAGCUAAACAGUGUUGGGCCUGGUUAGUACUUGGAUGGGAGACCACCUAGGAAGACCAAGUGCUGUAGGCG